CCCUUGGCCUUGACAUACUAAGAACUUUCCAGAGAUGGAUUGGUGCCUUUCGGGAACUUAGAUACAGGUGCUGCAUGGCUGUCGUCAGCUCGUGUCGUGAGAUGUUGGGUUAAGUCCGCAACGAGCGCAACCUUUUCCUUAUUUGCCAGCGGGUAAUGCCGGGAACUUUAAGGAUACUGCCAGUGACAAACUGGAGGAAGGCGGGGACGACGUCAAGUCAUCAUGGCCCUUACGGCCAGGGCUACACACGUGCUACAAUGGUCGGUACAAAGGGUUGCUACCUCGCGAGAGGAUGCUAAUCUCAAAAAGCCGACCGUAGUCCGGAUCGCAGUCUGCAACUCGACUGCGUGAAGUCGGAAUCGCUAGUAAUCGCGGAUCAGAAUGCCGCGGUGAAUACGCUCCCGGGCCUUGUACACACCGCCCGUCACACCAUGGGAGUUUGUUGCACCAGAAGUAGGUAGUCUAACCGCAAGGAGGACGCUUACCACGGUGUGGCCGAUGACUGGGGUGAAGUCGUAACAAGGUAGGCGUAGAUGA
rnacentral:rRNA from 1 species